ACUAAGCGUACACGGUGGAUGCCCUGGCAGUCAGAGGCGAUGAAGGACGUGCUAAUCUGCGAUAAGCGUCGGUAAGGUGAUAUGAACCGUUAUAACCGGCGAUUUCCGAAUGGGGAAACCCAGUGUGUUUCGACACACUAUCAUUAACUGAAUCCAUAGGUUAAUGAGGCGAACCGGGGGAACUGAAACAUCUAAGUACCCCGAGGAAAAGAAAUCAACCGAGAUUCCCCAGUAGCGGCGAGCGAACGGGGAGCAGCCCAGAGCCUGAAUCAGUGUGUGUGUUAGUGGAAGCGUCUGGAAAGGCGCGCGAUACAGGGUGACAGCCCCGUACACAAAAAUGCACAUAUUGUGAGCUCGAUGAGUAGGGCGGGACACGUGGUAUCCUGUCUGAAUAUGGGGGGACCAUCCUCCAAGGCUAAAUACUCCUGACUGACCGAUAGUGAACCAGUACCGUGAGGGAAAGGCGAAAAGAACCCCGGCGAGGGGAGUGAAAAAGAACCUGAAACCGUGUACGUACAAGCAGUGGGAGCACGCUUAGGCGUGUGACUGCGUACCUUUUGUAUAAUGGGUCAGCGACUUAUAUUCUGUAGCAAGGUUAACCGAAUAGGGGAGCCGAAGGGAAACCGAGUCUUAACUGGGCGUUAAGUUGCAGGGUAUAGACCCGAAACCCGGUGAUCUAGCCAUGGGCAGGUUGAAGGUUGGGUAACACUAACUGGAGGACCGAACCGACUAAUGUUGAAAAAUUAGCGGAUGACUUGUGGCUGGGGGUGAAAGGCCAAUCAAACCGGGAGAUAGCUGGUUCUCCCCGAAAGCUAUUUAGGUAGCGCCUCGUGAAUUCAUCUCCGGGGGUAGAGCACUGUUUCGGCAAGGGGGUCAUCCCGACUUACCAACCCGAUGCAAACUGCGAAUACCGGAGAAUGUUAUCACGGGAGACACACGGCGGGUGCUAACGUCCGUCGUGAAGAGGGAAACAACCCAGACCGCCAGCUAAGGUCCCAAAGUCAUGGUUAAGUGGGAAACGAUGUGGGAAGGCCCAGACAGCCAGGAUGUUGGCUUAGAAGCAGCCAUCAUUUAAAGAAAGCGUAAUAGCUCACUGGUCGAGUCGGCCUGCGCGGAAGAUGUAACGGGGCUAAACCAUGCACCGAAGCUGCGGCAGCGACGCUGAUGCGUUGUUGGGUAGGGGAGCGUUCUGUAAGCCUGUGAAGGUGUACUGUGAGGUAUGCUGGAGGUAUCAGAAGUGCGAAUGCUGACAUAAGUAACGAUAAAGCGGGUGAAAAGCCCGCUCGCCGGAAGACCAAGGGUUCCUGUCCAACGUUAAUCGGGGCAGGGUGAGUCGACCCCUAAGGCGAGGCCGAAAGGCGUAGUCGAUGGGAAACAGGUUAAUAUUCCUGUACUUGGUGUUACUGCGAAGGGGGGACGGAGAAGGCUAUGUUGGCCGGGCGACGGUUGUCCCGGUUUAAGCGUGUAGGCUGGUUUUCCAGGCAAAUCCGGAAAAUCAAGGCUGAGGCGUGAUGACGAGGCACUACGGUGCUGAAGCAACAAAUGCCCUGCUUCCAGGAAAAGCCUCUAAGCAUCAGGUAACAUCAAAUCGUACCCCAAACCGACACAGGUGGUCAGGUAGAGAAUACCAAGGCGCUUGAGAGAACUCGGGUGAAGGAACUAGGCAAAAUGGUGCCGUAACUUCGGGAGAAGGCACGCUGAUAUGUAGGUGAAGUCCCUCGCGGAUGGAGCUGAAAUCAGUCGAAGAUACCAGCUGGCUGCAACUGUUUAUUAAAAACACAGCACUGUGCAAACACGAAAGUGGACGUAUACGGUGUGACGCCUGCCCGGUGCCGGAAGGUUAAUUGAUGGGGUUAGCCGCAAGGCGAAGCUCUUGAUCGAAGCCCCGGUAAACGGCGGCCGUAACUAUAACGGUCCUAAGGUAGCGAAAUUCCUUGUCGGGUAAGUUCCGACCUGCACGAAUGGCGUAAUGAUGGCCAGGCUGUCUCCACCCGAGACUCAGUGAAAUUGAACUCGCUGUGAAGAUGCAGUGUACCCGCGGCAAGACGGAAAGACCCCGUGAACCUUUACUAUAGCUUGACACUGAACAUUGAGCCUUGAUGUGUAGGAUAGGUGGGAGGCUUGGAAGUGUGGACGCCAGUCUGCAUGGAGCCGACCUUGAAAUACCACCCUUUAAUGUUUGAUGUUCUAACGUUGACCCGUAAUCCGGGUUGCGGACAGUGUCUGGUGGGUAGUUUGACUGGGGCGGUCUCCUCCUAAAGAGUAACGGAGGAGCACGAAGGUUGGCUAAUCCUGGUCGGACAUCAGGAGGUUAGUGCAAUGGCAUAAGCCAGCUUGACUGCGAGCGUGACGGCGCGAGCAGGUGCGAAAGCAGGUCAUAGUGAUCCGGUGGUUCUGAAUGGAAGGGCCAUCGCUCAACGGAUAAAAGGUACUCCGGGGAUAACAGGCUGAUACCGCCCAAGAGUUCAUAUCGACGGCGGUGUUUGGCACCUCGAUGUCGGCUCAUCACAUCCUGGGGCUGAAGUAGGUCCCAAGGGUAUGGCUGUUCGCCAUUUAAAGUGGUACGCGAGCUGGGUUUAGAACGUCGUGAGACAGUUCGGUCCCUAUCUGCCGUGGGCGCUGGAGAACUGAGGGGGGCUGCUCCUAGUACGAGAGGACCGGAGUGGACGCAUCACUGGUGUUCGGGUUGUCAUGCCAAUGGCACUGCCCGGUAGCUAAAUGCGGAAGAGAUAAGUGCUGAAAGCAUCUAAGCACGAAACUUGCCCCGAGAUGAGUUCUCCCUGACCCUUUAAGGGUCCUGAAGGAACGUUGAAGACGACGACGUUGAUAGGCCGGGUGUGUAAGCGCAGCGAUGCGUUGAGCUAACCGGUACUAAUGAACCGUGAGGCUUAACC
rnacentral:rRNA from 1 species